rnacentral:lncRNA from 10 species
GAGAGAGAUCAUGUGGUAUCUGCCUUUCUGUGCCUGGUUUAUUUCACUUAGCCUUAUGUCCUCCAGGCUCAUCCAUGUUGCUGUGAAUGACAGGAUUUCAUUCUUUUCCCACGAGUUUUUAAUCUUGUUAAGGACAUUUUAACUGUCAUUAACUACAGUGUAUAUUGUCUCUGCUUCUAGACUGUCAUCUCCUCAAGGACUAUGUGUUUUAGCUAAAUUCCUUGCAUGCAGUGGGCCUUAGAAGCUGGGCAAUUUCAGAAAUGAAAAUCACACUGUGAAAGUUAUUCACAGUUUAGUAUUAAGUGAAAGAAGUUAAGUGGGAAGCUAAUUUGCUCAUUUUAAAAAAUGGGGCUACUUGGGAAAAUAUUUUAAAUGGCAUUUUAAGUGUUGGGAUUUCAGGUGAAAUUUCUUAUCUUAUUUUUGUUUUUUGGUUUUCUUCAUUUUCUGCCAUGAAUAUUAUUUGUUUUGUAAUGAAAAGGUAUAUAUAAAAAAUUGAUUGUGAGUUCAAACAAUGCUAUCUGUCAGCAUUAAGCAUGAAAGUACACUAAAGAAACAUUUUGGUCUUGGUUUGGCUGCUAUUUUACAAAAGCAUUCACUAAUUUUUUUUUUUUUUUGAAUGAGAAAACAUUUAUUCCAUCUCCAAACAGCAUCCCAGGGCCGGGCAUCUCCCCUACGACUUUAUAAUACACUCGGCACAGACAGAGUUUGGGAGCCAUGGGACACCUCUGCCCUCCCCAGGCUUCCUAAGUAACAACUGCAGAAUAUUUACAUAAAGCUGGGUGUUGUCAGGCAAAGCCAUUCCCUGCUGCCAGGGGUGGGAGCAAGAAGGAAGUGCCAUGAGCACCAGCCCCGCCUUCACACCGUGGGAGGCAGCCCAGAGGCCACCGGCACAGGGUGGUGGCCCCCAGAUCAUACAGCAGUGGACACAGGGGAAGCAAACCUGAGUGAGGACACAAGAGCCUGGUCCGGCUCCGCUGCACAGGAGAAACAUAAUUGAGGUGGAAGGAUCCAGAAGAAAGGAACCAGUGAUGAUGAGGACAGAGGGCUCUCCACGGGAAGGUGGGAGAGAAUUUAGUUCUCUGUGCCGUGAAGAUGGGAUUGGAGCCAUACAUGUAGUACCUGAGGAAGGCAAGAAAGGAUAUAAAGAAAAUAAGAAACAACACUUUCUCUGCACAUCCAAAUUGUGGCAAGGAUUUUUGCAGAUUGCCACCAGUUCACUGAGAGGAGUCAUUGAAAACAUGGCAUUGAGGACAGAGACUGCCACUUCAGAAUUUUCUACAUCCAACUGCUGAAGCCACUCGAAGAUAUUUCCCUCAGAGAACCAUAACCAGCUUUGGAGAAGAUGCUUCCACAUAGCUUGUUUCACAGCAUCUCAUCUCUCAUUAAAACCUUGUUGAGGGAGCAUUACUGUCUGAGCAAUGGACAUAGCUCUCAUACGAACCUUUUCAGCUAACACCGGAUAAGCCAGCUUUCUGACAGCCUCUUUCACAUCCUUGGUGCACCCUACAAUUUUUGGCAAAGUCUUUGCUGAUGGUGCAAUACAUGAUAA